rnacentral:rRNA from 1 species
UACGGAGGGUCCAAGCGUUAUCCGGAAUCAUUGGGUUUAAAGGGUCCGUAGGCGGUUUUGUAAGUCAGUGGUGAAAGCCCAUCGCUCAACGGUGGAACGGCCAUUGAUACUGCAAGACUUGAAUUAUUGGGAAGUAACUAGAAUAUGUAGUGUAGCGGUGAAAUGCUUAGAGAUUACAUGGAAUACCAAUUGCGAAGGCAGGUUACUACCAAUAUAUUGACGCUGAUGGACGAAAGCGUGGGGAUCAAACAGG